rnacentral:misc_RNA from 1 species
GAUGAAGAACGUAGCGAAAUGCGAUAAGUAAUGUGAAUUGCAGAAUUCAGUGAAUCAUCGAAUCUUUGAACGCACAUUGCGCCCGCCAGUAUUCUGGCGGGCAUGCCUGUCUGAGCGUCAUUUCAACCCUCAUGCCCCUAGGGCGUGGUGUUGGGGAUCGGCCAAAGCCCGCGAGGGACGGCCGGCCCCUAAAUCUAGUGGCGGACCCGUCGUGGCCUCCUCUGCGAAGUAGUGAUAUUCCGCAUCGGAGAGCGAUGAGCCCCUGCCGUUAAACCCCCAACUUUCCAAGGUUGACCUCGGAUCAGGUAGGGAUACCCGCUGAACUUAAGCAUAUCAAUAAGCGGAGGA